rnacentral:rRNA from 1 species
GUGCCAGACUCCUACGGGAGGCAGCAGUGGGGAAUAUUGCACAAUGGGCGAAAGCCUGAUGCAGCGACGCCGCGUGAGUGAAGAAGUCUUUCGGUAUGUAAAGCUCUAUCAGCAGGGAAGAAAAUGACGGUACCUGACUAAGAAGCCCCGGCUAACUACGUGCCAGCAGCCGCGGUAAUACGUAGGUGGCAAGCGUUGUCCGGAAUUACUGGGUGUAAAGGGAGCGCAGGCGGGAAGCCAAGUCAGCUGUGAAAACUACGGGCUUAACUUGUAGACUGCAGUUGAAACUGGUUUUCUUGAGUGAAGUAGAGGUUGGCGGAAUUCCGAGUGUAGCGGUGAAAUGCGUAGAUAUUCGGAGGAACACCGGUGGCGAAGGCGGCCAACUGGGCUUUAACUGACGCUGAGGCUCGAAAGUGUGGGGAGCAAACAGGAUUAGAUACCCCGGUAAAU